rnacentral:rRNA from 1 species
CGGUACGCGCGGAUCUUCCAGAGAUUAGAGUUUGAUCCUGGCUCAGAUUGAACGCUGGCGGCAGGCCUAACACAUGCAAGUCGAACGGUAACAGGAAGCAGCUUGCUGCUUCGCUGACGAGUGGCGGACGGGUGAGUAAUGUCUGGGAAACUGCCUGAUGGAGGGGGAUAACUACUGGAAACGGUAGCUAAUAUCGCAUAACGUCGCAAGACCAAAGAGGGGGACCUUAGGGCCUCUUGCCAUCGGAUGUGCCCAGAUGGGAUUAGCUAGUAGGUGGGGUAACGGCUCACCUAGGCGACGAUCCCUAGCUGGUCUGAGAGGAUGACCAGCCACACUGGAACUGAGACACGGUCCAGACUCCUACGGGAGGCAGCAGUGGGGAAUAUUGCACAAUGGGCGCAAGCCUGAUGCAGCCAUGCCGCGUGUAUGAAGAAGGCCUUCGGGUUGUAAAGUACUUUCAGCGGGGAGGAAGGGAGUAAAGUUAAUACCUUUGCUCAUUGACGUUACCCGCAGAAGAAGCACCGGCUAACUCCGUGCCAGCAGCCGCGGUAAUACGGAGGGUGCAAGCGUUAAUCGGAAUUACUGGGCGUAAAGCGCACG